GAUGAACGCUGACAGCAUGCUUAACACAUCAGCAAUUGCUUGGUAGCGGACGGGUGAGUAACGCGUAAAGAACUUGCCUCAAAGCUCGGGACAACAUUUAGAAAUGAAUGCUAAUACCUGCUACUGUGAGAGAGCUUUGCGUCCAAUUAGCUAGUUGGAGAUGUAACAGCUCACCAAGGCGAUGAUGCGUAGCCGGCCUGAGAGGGUGAACUGCCAGAAGGGGAAUGAGACACGGCCCUUACUCCUACGGGAGGCAUCAGUGGGGAAUAUGGUACAAUGGACCGAAGGCUGAUCCAGCAAUUCUGUGUGCACGAUGAAGUUUUCGGAAUGUAAACUGCUUUCAGUUGGGAAGCGGUACCAACAGAAGAAGUGACGGCUAAAUACGUGCCAGCAGCCGCGGUAAUUC
rnacentral:rRNA from 1 species